AUGCAUGCGACAGGUGCAGAGGCACGCAGCAGGUGCCACGCAGGAUGCAAUGCAGGCUCGAUGCAGGAUGCACACAGCAGGUGCAGUGCCGGGCGCGCACAGCCUGGGACAGCCCCGCGCCCGCCGGCGGCCCCUUUAAGGCUGCGGGGCGGGGCGGCGCGGCGGGGCCGGGUGUGGGGUUGCGGCUCCCGGUGCUGGCGGCGGCGGCGGGGGGGCUCCGGCCGUGCCCGGCCCAUGGCCCGGCCCCCGGCGCCUCCCGGGGCCCCGCGCUGCUUCGGGGCGCUGAGCACGGGGCAGCUGCGGGCGCUGCUGCAGGACGAGCCCCGGCUGCAGCGCGCCGUCCGCCUCAGCAGGAAGGUAGGGCCGGGCCUGGAUGCGAUGCGAUUCGAUGCGAUGCGAUGGGCGCUCCGUGCCGCUCCGUGCCGCUCACCGCCCUGCGCCUCAGUUCCAGGAGCUGCAGCGGGAGCGGGAGGAGCGGCUGGCGGCCAACAGCGCUCUGGCCCGGGACAACCUGGCGCUGCGGCCGCGGCUGGAGGACGGGAAGGCGGCGCUGGCCAUCAAAUACCAGGAGCUGCGCGAGGUGCGCGAGGCGUGCCGGGCCAAGCUGCGGCGCCUGGAGGUGUACCUGGAGGAGUGCGGCCCGCAGCGCGCCCUGGGCCGGCUCCGAGCCGCGCUGGACGCGUCCGAGGAGGAGGCGGAGGCGCAGAUGCAGCGGUUCCUGGCGCACGAGGUGCCCCUCGAUGCCUUCCUGGAGUCCUUCUGCCGGAGCCGCGCGCGCUCCCACGUCUCUCGGACGCAGCUGGAGAAGCUGCAGGAGCUGCUGCAGAGGGGCCGGGACCCUGCGGGGGAGCCCCCGGGGCUCAGCCCGGCGCCGGGCCGCGGCACGGCCUCCCCCAGAGCCCUACAGCUGCGCUACGGCUUCGUGCCCGCCGUCCUCGUCCCCGCGGCGGCCGUGGUGCCCUUCGCCGUGCCGCCCAAGCAUCGUCUCCCGGCCCUGAGACAGCCGCCGGCCGCCCCGCACCUCGCCCCGCACGCGGCCCCGCUCAGUCCCCGGCCCUUCCGCCGUCGGGAGCCGGAGCCGCUGCAGCCGUAGAGGUGUGGGGCCGGGGAACGGCGGGCGCGAACUCCGGGAGCUGCUGCGUGCGGGGAAGAAGCUGCUGCAUCCGCUGCAGAAGUGGGGAGAGGGUGUGGGUCGGUGGGGUGGUGGUAGAGGGGAAAAGGGUCCAGGAGCACGAGCUGCUGUACGCUCCCCAAAUAAAUGCUCUGUUCUGCACCGCGUGGGCCUGGCUGUGA
rnacentral:lncRNA from 1 species